AUUAAGCCAUGCAUGUCUAAGUACAUACCUUAAAACGGUGAAACCGCGAAUGGGCUAUUAAAUGAGCUAUGGUUCCUUAGAUCGUAAACGCUAAAUGGAUAACUGUAGUAGUUCUAGAACUAAUGCAUGCCUUGAAUCCCUGACCCGCAAGGGUCUAGGUGCAUUCAUUAGAGCAGAAGCAAUCGGAUGAGCCUUCGACUGUACCUGUUACAUUCUGUGAUGAUUCUGGAUAGCUCUACUGGGUUGGGUUGGCGAAGGACCUUUCAAAUGUCUCCCCUAUCAAUUUGUUCAUAGGUGAUUUGCCUACCAUGACGAUAAAGGGUAACGAGGAAUCAGGGUUCGAUUCCGGAGAGAGAGCCUGACAAAUGGUUGACACAUCCAAUCCAUCAAGGAGCACGAGGUCCCUCAAGAUUACAGGUA
rnacentral:ncRNA from 1 species